UGCACAAAACCUAAAAAAACUCCAAUUGAAUUUGAGAGGCUCGAAGGAGGAGGAGACAAAGCAACGUGAGUAUACGUAUGGGGAAGAGUGAGGAGAGAGAAGCAAAGCUUUGAUUUUGAGGAAUGAUGCAGCGAAUGAAAUCAGAGUUGAUGCUGCCACCGACGCUUCUCUCUCACUGUAACGCUUUUCAAUCUCGGAUUUUAAACUCACGAUUUUCAGUAGAUUGGAUGAUUUGUGAUUUGGGUCUUUCAAUUUCCAAAUUGAAUGCAAGAGUUAGCUAUUCUUGAUGAUUUUGCGGAGAGAAACAAGAGCUUAGACGAGAUGGUAAAAUAUCUUGCAAACGAACCUUUAGUGGAGGCUUUACUACAUUCGACAUCACGUCUAAAAUGCAGCACCAUAUGUUCUUAAUCUUAACAUCAACGUUUUGGAGAAGUCUCGUGAAACAUGCUUGCAUACCGAAGACUUGGAAGAUUUUAUAGCCAUGGUGAAAUCAAUGAAAGAGUCUGAUUCACCUGUCAUCUAUAUUUGUUGUUAGACAUCUAUGAUGGUUGUGAAACAUUUUUAUAUUGUUUUGAUACUUGUAUGAUGUUUCUGCACUAUAAGAAUGUCAAAGUUUCUAUUAUACAAGUUAGUAGUUGUUGAGGUAACUGUGACUGAGUUUGC